AUUGAACGCUGGCGGCAUGCUUUACACAUGCAAGUCGAACGAGUGGCGGACGGGUGAGUAAUAUAUGGGAAAGUGCCCAGUGGAGGGGGAUAACUACUGGAAACGGUGGCUAAUACCGCAUACCAUCGGAUGUGCCGAGAUGGGAUUAGCUAGUUGGUGGGGUAAAGGCUCACCAAGGCGACGAUCCGUAGCUGGUUUGAGAGGAGGACCAGCCACACUGGAACUGAGACACGGCCCAGACUCCUACGGGAGGCAGCAGUGGGGAAUAUUGGACAAUGGGGGCAACCCUGAUGCAGCCAUCCCGCGUGUAUGAUGAAGGCCUUCGGGUUGUAAAGUACUUUUAGCAGGGAAGCGGUACCUGCAGAAGAAGCACCGGCUAACUACGUGCCAGCAGCCGCGGUAAUUC
rnacentral:rRNA from 1 species